GGGUGAGGUGCGAGAGUUGGUUGAAUCGGACGGUCUCGAAAACCGUUGAGCCUUUACGGGUUCCGUGGGUUCGAAUCCCACCUUGUCUGCAA
rnacentral:tRNA from 1 species